rnacentral:lncRNA from 10 species
GACGACGUGGGACGCCGUGGGCCGCGAGCACGCCCCGGCACUACUGCGGCUAAGUUUGGCCUUUCCUGGUUGCCGUCCUCCCCUACAGGCUGUGCGCCGUAGCGGCUGUUAUCCUUCUUUUCCGUCUCAGGAAAACAGCGUGCUUGGGUCUCUGUCGCCCAAGCUAGAGUGUGGUAGCACAAUCUUGGCUCACUACAGUCUCUGCCUCCCAGGCUCAAAGGAUCCUUCCAUCUCAGCCUCAGGAUUAGCUGGGACAACAGGCACAUACCAUCAUGCCCAGCAUUGAUUGAAACUGAAACUUGAAAUCCUUCAGUGCCUCUGCAGAGCCUACGGUGUAAACUCCAAGAUCCUUGAUAUGAGUUACAAGAUGCUCUUUUGAGUUGGCAUUUGUCUCUUCUGGGCCUACUCUCCAUUCACUCCCCACCUCACAUGUAACACCUAGUAGCACUUAGUUCCUGGAACACAAUUAACUGCUUCAUGCCUAUGGGCAUUUGUUCAUGCUUUUCCCUUUUGAUUAGAAAUAAACCUCUGUAGGCCUUUCUCUUGGGCUUGUUCAGGUGGUCCAGUAGAAGCAUCCUGCAAAAUUGCCAGAGGGUAUGUGACUUUGUGGGCCUAU